CACGUAGGGGCCAAGCGUUGUCCGGAUUUAUUGGGCGUAAAGAGCUCGUAGGCGGUUCGACAAGUCGGGUGUGAAAACUCCGGGCUCAACCCGGAGACGCCACCCGAUACUGUCGUGACUGGAGUCCGGUAGGGGAGUGGGGAAUUCCUGGUGUAGCGGUGAAAUGCGCAGAUAUCAGGAGGAACACCGGUGGCGAAGGCGGCCACCUGGACGGUCACUGACGCUGAGACGCGAAAGCGUGGGUAGCAAACAGG
rnacentral:rRNA from 1 species